rnacentral:rRNA from 1 species
GAGAGUGGCGAACGGGUGAGUAAGACGUUGGUGACCUGCCCCGGAGAGGGGGAUAAUUCCGCGAAAGCGGGACUAAUACCCCAUAGGCUGCAGGGGGUUAGAGGCUUCUGCAGUAAAGGCUGAGGCGCUUCGGGAGGGGCCAGCGGCCUAUCAGCUUGUUGGUAGGGUAAGGGCCUACCAAGGCUGAGACGGGUAGGGGGCGUGAGAGCGUGGCCCCCCACAAUGGCACUGAGACACGGGCCAUACUCCUACGGGAGGCAGCAGUGAGGAAUAUUGCGCAAUGGGGGCAACCCUGACGCAGCAACGCCGCGUGGGUGAAGAAGGCCUUCGGGUUGUAAAACCCUUUUCUGGAGGACGAGUAAGGACGGUACUCCAGGAAUAAGUCCCGGCUAACUACGUGCCAGCAGCCGCGGUAAAACGUAGGGGGCGAGCGUUAUCCGGAUUUACUGGGCGUAAAGCGCGUGCAGGCGGCUGGGCAGGUUGGACGUGAAAGCUCCUGGCUCAACUGGGAGAGGUCGUUCAAGACCGCCUGGCUUGAGGGCGGAAGAGGGGAGUGGAAUUCCCGGUGUAGUGGUGGAAUGCGUAGAGAUCGGGAGGAACACCUGUGGCGAAAGCGGCUCCCUGGUCCGCACCUGACGCUCAGACGCGAAAGCGUGGGGAGCGAACGGGAUUAGAUACCCCGGUAGUCCACGCUGUAAACGAUGGAUGCUAGGUGUGGGUGGUAUUGACCCCAUCCGUGCCGUAGCUAACGCGUUAAGCAUCCCGCCUGGGGACUACGGCCGCAAGGUUAAAACUCAAAGGAAUUGACGGGGGCCCGCACAAGCAGCGGAGCGUGUGGUUUAAUUCGAUGCUACGCGAAGAACCUUACCUGGGUUUGACAUGCCCGUAGUAGGGAGCCGAAAAGGUGACCGACCCUUCGGGGGAGCGGGCACAGGUGCUGCAUGGCUGUCGUCAGCUCCUGUC